rnacentral:rRNA from 1 species
CCUACGGGAGGCUGCAGUGGGGAAUAUUGGACAAUGGGGGCAACCCUGAUCCAGCCAUGCCGCGUGUGUGAAGAAGGCCCUCGGGUUGUAAAGCACUUUCAGUGAGGAAGAACGCCUGGUGGUUAAUACCCAUCAGGAAAGACAUCACUCACAGAAGAAGCACCGGCUAACUCCGUGCCAGCAGCCGCGGUAAUACGGAGGGUGCGAGCGUUAAUCGGAAUUACUGGGCGUAAAGCGCGCGUAGGUGGCUUGAUAAGCCGGUUGUGAAAGCCCCGGGCUCAACCUGGGAACGGCAUCCGGAACUGUCAAGCUAGAGUGCAGGAGGGGAAGGUAGAAUUCCCGGUGUAGCGGUGAAAUGCGUAGAGAUCGGGAGGAAUACCAGUGGCGAAGGCGGCCUUCUGGACUGACACUGACACUGAGGUGCGAAAGCGUGGGUAGCAAACAGGAUUAGAUACCCCAGUAGUC